GGAAUAUUGCGCAAUGGGCGAAAGCCUGACGCAGCCAUGCCGCGUGUGUGAAGAAGGCCUUCGGGUUGUAAAGCACUUUCACUUGGGAAGAAAGGCUGCUGGUUAAUAGCCAGUAGCUGUGACAUUACCUUGAGAAGAUGCUACGGCUACCUCCGUGCCAGCAGCCGCGGUAAUACUGAGGGUGCAAGCGUUAAUCGGAAUUACUGGGCGUAAAGCGCGCGUAGGCGGUUUGUUAAGUCGGAUGUGAAAGCCCCGGGCUCAACCUGGGAACUGCACCCGAUACUGGCCGACUAGAGUACGAGAGAGGGAGGUAGAAUUCCACGUGUAGCGGUGAAAUGCGUAGAUAUGUGGAGGAAUACCGGUGGCGAAGGCGACCUCCUGGCUCGAUACUGACGCUGAGGUGCGAAAGCGUGGGGAGCAAAC
rnacentral:rRNA from 1 species